GACGAACGCUGGCGGCGUGCUUAACACAUGCAAGUCGAACGGAAAGGCCCUGCUUUUGUGGGGUGCUCGAGUGGCGAACGGGUGAGUAACACGUGAGUAACCUGCCCUUGACUUUGGGAUAACUUCAGGAAACUGGGGCUAAUACGGGAUAGGAGCUCCUGCUGCAUGGUGGGGGUUGGAAAGUUUCGGCGGUUGGGGAUGGACUCGCGGCUUAUCAGCUUGUUGGUGGGGUAGUGGCUUACCAAGGCUUUGACGGGUAGCCGGCCUGAGAGGGUGACCGGCCACAUUGGGACUGAGCUGAGGCCCAGACUACUACGGGAGGCAGAAGUGGGGAAUAUUGCACAAUGGGCGGAAGCCUGAUGCAGCAACGCCGCGUGCGGGAUGACGGCCUUCGGUUUGUAAACCGCUUUCGCCUGUGACGAAGCGUGAGUGACGGUAAUGGGUAAAGAAGCACCGGCUAACUACGUG
rnacentral:rRNA from 1 species